rnacentral:siRNA from 1 species
GGGAUGGUAACAAGUCUUUAAAG